rnacentral:rRNA from 1 species
GAGGGGCAGCAUGGCGUGUGCUUGCACAUGCCGAUGGCGACCGGCGGAUGGGUGAGUAACGCGUAUCCAACCUGGCCCGCGCGCGGGGAUAGCCCUUGGAAAUGAGGAUUAAUACCCGAUAUGUGGAUUUGCCGCAUGGCUUAUUCAUGAAGCUUUGCGCGGGAUGGGGAUGCGUACGAUUAGCUUGCCGGCGGGGUGACGGCCCACCGGGGCGACGAUCGUUAGGGGUUCUGAGAGGAAGGUCCCCCACACUGGUACUGAGACACGGACCAGACUCCUACGGGAGGCAGCAGUGAGGAAUAUUGGUCAAUGGGCGUAAGCCUGAACCAGCCAAGUAGCGUGCAGGACGACGGCCCUACGGGUUGUAAACUGCUUUUAUGCGGGGAUAACCGCCGGGACGUGUCCCGGCCUGCAGGUACCGCAUGAAUAAGGACCGGCUAAUUCCGUGCCAGCAGCCGCGGUAAUACGGAAGGUCCGGGCGUUAUCCCGGAUUUAUUGGGUUUAAAGGGUGCGCAGGCGGCAUGUCAAGUCAGCCGUUUAAACUCCGGGCUCAAACCGGUUGUGC